CAGUUUAAACUGGCAUUAUCUUGUGCUAGAUAAAUAAUAGGGUUAAUUAUGUUUUUAGUCCCUGAACUUUUUCAGGUUUUUACUUUUAGUCCCUGAACAAAAUUUUGACCGGUCUUAGUUCCUAAACUUGUAUUUCGUUAAUGUUUUUAGUCCUUGCCGUCAAAUAGCAUCAUUAAAUGAUGAGAUGGCGUUAAUGUUAUUGUUAUUUUAUUACAUUUAGUGGCCGUUAAAAAUCCAGAAAUUGCCUUGCUAAGAUGUAGUAAACAAUUUUUGGCGGCUGAAAACCGCCAGAAAUUGCUUUUGCCUUUUUUGAUUGGCCCCUUUCCUCCAUCCAUCAAUGCAAGUUCAAAUCAAUACAACACUCAGAUCCAAAAUCAAAAUCAAAAUAAGUAGAGGCACAAACACAAACCCAGCAAAAUAAAAAAGUUUUUUUAAAAAAUAGAUCAGAAACCCACAACAACCCAAACCCAUAAUCAGUUCUGCUUCCACUUGUUGCUUGAAACACACAACCACCCCAACCCUAAAUCCAAACUGAAAACCUGGAGGCAGCGGUGUGUGCCUUUCUUUUUGGUGACCCUGUGCUAUGCUACUCACUUCAUUUUGGUGACCCUCCGAGAUUGGUUCGUUAAGGCGGGGUUGGGGCUUGGUCUAUUGGGUGUGUCGCCAGUUUGUGUACAUUGUGAGAGUGAGACGUGUAGGCACACCUACGAAAACCCAA